AACUCAGGACCGCGAGGGGUGCGAUCACCCACUGAUACAAGGGGACUCAUCUAAUGAGAGUUCACACAAAAGAAUUUUAAUAAACAUUAUUUGAAAGAACUGGUGACCAUUUCACCUAAUGGUCCACAGAGGUGAUUCCCACACAGUCUUCCCAGGAACCUUCAAUUUAAACCUAAUGCCAUUUCUCGGGGCAUCUUCACAACAGUUACACGCUUAUUUGAAAAACUAAAACUCAACAAAAUGUUACAUUUGACUUUCUAAAAUUCAAAGGUUUAACAGAAGGUACCCAAAUGCUGGCUAGGGAGUAGUCUAAAGGAUCAUUUGUAUGGCGUUUGAUAUUCCCCAACAGAAAUAGAAAGCAAGUGGUACAUUUCCGACAAAUCUUAUCUUGUUAAAUCUUAUUCAGCAUUUUAUCGGCAGGUGUUUUCAGACUGAUUCACUCUGUUGUUCAUUUGUUUAGAGAACAGGAGUCCCACACAAUAGCCAAAGCUGGCCAGGAACCCUCGAUCCUUCUAUCCUCUUUGAAUCCUUGAAUUCAAUUUACCUCCUAGACCAGAACACCCUCAGGUCCAGACCCUGAGUUCUCUAAGCCCUGGAACCCUUGUAGGUCAGUAUCUCUCUUGGCUGUGACACUCCUGCGCAAUGCACAAAAUAUUUACACAGCCGCAGAAGGAGCUGUCUGGAGCCAGGAAGAUCAGACGGCGGCUGACUGAAAGUAAUAGAUGUGCCAGAGAGUGGCUGCUGACAGUGGACCGUGGAGAGCAUGUGGAUUGCAGAGAGCAGGCUCUGGAAGCCAGAGUGGCAAGAGCAAGCAAGGUGGAGACGCGAGGCAAGCUCCUAGAAGGUGCACAUCCAGCUGCCUUCCACAUCCAAAGAUGGAGCAGGGUCUGGAGAAAGGGCGCAGCAGUUUCGAGUUCUUGCCGCUCCUGCAAAAGACCUGAGUUUGGAUUUCAGCCCCUCGGUCAGGUGGCUCACAACCAUCUGUAACUCCAGCUACAGUGACUCCCACGCCCUCUUCUUGCCUCCACUGUCACUUGCCCACCUGUGACUUAUACACACCGAGACAUGUAUUAUACAUCUACACAAUAAAUUUUAAAAAUAAAUAUUUUUUUUUUUUAGAUUA